CUUCCGUUUACAGAAUUGUGUGUAGUUUAGAUAUAGAUCUAUAUUCAGUUAUUUUUUGCCAGUGAAGAAGUAUUUCCCUUGGUGUGUGUGUUUACAGACUUGUGUGUGAGGUUUUGAUUGUGGCGCAGUCAGUUGUUUGCCGAGAAGCCUUGAAAACUGUGUAUUGCCCCCUUACUCUCUAUAAAUAGGGACAUAUCAUGUUAUCAGAUGUUGGCCUAUGUACCAGCCCAAAGAAAUGAACAGAAUUCUACAAAGCUCUUUCUCGUGGCACAACUGAAGAAUAUUGUAA